GACGGGAAGGACGCAUUCGCUCCGUACGUACGGGAGAGGAAAGUCCGGACACCGCAGGACGGGACUCCCCAUGAAAGUGGGGGACAACGACGAAAGGUUGUUGGACGGACAGUGUCACAGAAAAUAAACCGCCCCUUGGGGUAAGGGUGAAAAGGGGGUGUAAGAGACCACCGCUUCGGCCAGCAAUGACGAAGGCAGGGAAAACCCAGUCCGGUGCAAGACGAAAUAGGGGGUUGGGUGGUCCGCCCAAAAACUCCGGGUUCGUCGCACCCUCCUUUGGGAGGGAACGCUUGGCGAACGCUUGGCGUUAGAUAAAUGAGUGCGGCUUCGGAAGAAGAACAGAAUCCGGCUUAUACCUUCCCGUCAAAA
rnacentral:RNase_P_RNA from 1 species